AUGCAAGUCGAACGGGGAUUAUUUCAUUGAAGCUUCGGCAGAUUUGGCUUAAUCCUAGUGGCGGACGGGUGAGUAACGCGUGGGUAACCUGCCUUGUACAGGGGGGAUAACAGUCAGAAAUGACUGCUAAUACCGCAUAAGCGCACAGGACCGCAUGGUCCGGUGUGAAAAACUCCGGUGGUAUAAGAUGGACCCGCGUUGGAUUAGCUAGUUGGCAGGGUAACGGCCCACCAAGGCGACGAUCCAUAGCCGGCCUGAGAGGGUGAACGGCCACAUUGGGACUGAGACACGGCCCAGACUCCUACGGGAGGCAGCAGUGGGGAAUAUUGCACAAUGGGGGAAACCCUGAUGCAGCGACACCGCGUGAAGGAAGAAGUAUCUCGGUAUGUAAACUUCUAUCAGCAGGGAAGAAAAUGACGGUA
rnacentral:rRNA from 1 species